UACGUAGGGGGCGAGCGUUGUCCGGAUUUAUUGGGCGUAAAGCGUGCGUAGGCGGCUGCGCAAGUCGGUUGUGAAACCCCGGGGCUCAACCCCGGAACUGCCUUUGAUACUGACGAUCUGGAGAUCGGGAGAGGUUGGUGGAAUUCCGAGUGUAGAGGUGAAAUUCGUAGAUAUUCGGAGGAACACCAGAAGCGAAGGCGGCCAACUGGUCCGAUACUGACGCUGAGGCGCGAAAGCGUGGGGAGCAAACAGG
rnacentral:rRNA from 1 species